rnacentral:rRNA from 1 species
AACGAACGCUGGCGGCGUGCCUAACACAUGCAAGUCGAACGAGAAAUUACGCUUCGGCGUGAGAGUAAAGUGGCGCACGGGUGAGUAACGCGUGGGUAACCUACCCCUCAGGCUGGGAUAACCCCGCGAAAGCGGGGCUAAUACCGGAUAUUGUCCCAGGGGCCCUGGCUCUUGGGAUGAAAGGUGGCCUCUUCUUGAAAGCUGCCGUUGAGGGACGGGCCCGCGUACCAUUAGCUUGUUGGUAGGGUAACGGCCUGCCAAGGCGACGAUGGUUAGCUGGUCUGAGAGGAUGAUCAGCCACACUGGAACUGGAACACGGUCCAGACUCCUACGGGAGGCAGCAGUGAGGAAUUUUGCGCAAUGGGGGAAACCCUGACGCAGCAACGCCGCGUGAGUGAAGAAGGCCUUCGGGUUGUAAAGCUCUGUCAAGUGGGAAAAACGUCCCGCAGUGAAUAGCUGGGGGAUCUGAUGUACCGCUGGGGGAAGCACCGGCUAACUCCGUGCCAGCAGCCGCGGUAAUACGGAGGGUGCAAGCGUUGUUCGGAAUUACUGGGCGUAAAGGGCGUGUAGGUGGUAGGGUAUGUCAGAUGUGAAAGCCCUGGGCUCAACCCAGGAAGUGCAUUUGAAACUACUCUACUUGAGUAUGGGAGAGGAGAGUGGAAUUCCCAGUGUAGAGGUGAAAUUCGUAGAUAUUGGGAGGAACACCCGUGGCGAAGGCGGCUCUCUGGACCAAUACUGACACUGAGACGCGAAAGCGUGGGGAGCAAACAGGA